rnacentral:rRNA from 1 species
AUUGAACGCUGGCGGCAGGCCUAACACAUGCAAGUCGAACGAGUGGCGGACGGGUGAGUAAUGUCUGGGAAACUGCCCGAUGGAGGGGGAUAACUACUGGAAACGGUUGCUAAUACCGCAUACCAUCGGAUGUUCCCUGAUGGUAUUAGCUAGUAGGUGGGGUAACGGCUCACCUAGGCGACGAUCCCUAGCUGGUCUGAGAGGAUGAACAGCCACACGGGAACUGAGACACGGUCCAGACUCCUACGGGAGGCAGAAGUGGGGAAUAUUGCACAAUGGGCGCAAGCCUGAUGCAGCCAUGCCGCGUGUAUAAAGAAGGCCUUCGGGUUGUAAAGUACGUUCAGCGAGGAGGCGUUACUCGCAGAGGAAGCACCGGCUAACUCCGUGCCAGCAGCCGCGGUAAUAC